rnacentral:rRNA from 1 species
CAGCAGCCGCGGUAAUACCGGCGGCCCGAGUGGCGGCCACUAUUAUUGGGCCUAAAGCGUCCGUAGCCGGGCUGGUAAGUCCCCCGGGAAAUCUGGCGGCUUAACCGUCAGAAUUCCGGGGGAUACUGCCAGCCUAGGGACCGGGAGAGGCCGGGGGUAUUCCCGGGGUAGGGGUGAAAUCCUGUAAUCCCGGGAGGACCACCUGUGGCGAAGGCGCCCGGCUGGAACGGGUCCGACGGUGAGGGACGAAGGCCAGGGGAGCGAACCGGAUUAGAUACCCGGGUAGUCCUGGCUGUAAACGAUGCGGACUUUGUGUCGGACAAGCUAUGAGCUUGUCCGGUGCCGGAGGGAAACCGUUAAGUCCGCCGCCUGGGGAGUACGGCCGCAAGGUUGAAACUUAAAGGAAUUGGCGGG